UAUGUGAUCGUCUCUCGCAUAUCAAUAAGCGGAGGAAAAGAAACUAACAAGGAUUCCCCUAGUAACGGCGAGUGAAGCGGGAAGAGCUCAAAUUUGAAAUCUUAAAGGGUUUCCCUUUACGAAUUGUAGUUUAAAGAAGUGUUUUCUGUUGAGGUUUUGGUAAAAGUUCUUUGGAAUAGGACAUCAUAGAGGGUGAGAAUCCCGUAUUUGACCUUUACUUUCAACUUUGUGAUACACUUUCAAAGAGUCGGAUUGUUUGGGAAUGCAGUCCAAAAUGGGUGGUAAAUUUCAUCUAAAGCUAAAUAUUGGCGAGAGACCGAUAGCGAACAAGUACCGUGAGGGAAAGAUGAAAAGAACUUUGAAAAGAGAGUUAAACAGUACGUGAAAUUGUCAAAAGGGAAGCGUUUGACACCAGUGUUGUUUUUCUGAAAAUCAAUUAAAGAACUGUUUAUGCUAAGCUGUUUAGACUUUAUCAGCUAACUGUUUAGUUUUGAGCUUUUCUUUAAUGCACUUUUCAGUUAACAAGUCAACAUCAAUUUCUUUUGCUGUAAAAAAGCUUGAGGAAGGUGGCUUGAGAUUCGUCUUAAGUGUUUAUAGCCUCUUGCCUAUGCAGUCGGAGAGAUUGAGGUCUGCAGCGUAGAUCCUUCGGGGCUAAACGCAUUUGUGCUAAGUUAUAGCAGUUUUAUAGACAACUUGUUGACUAUGAUUUGUCUUGUAGCUUACUCGCUUAUGUUAUUUUACCUACGCUUAGGAUGUUGAUCUGUAGUGCGUGCGC
rnacentral:rRNA from 1 species